ensembl:lncRNA
GUGAAUGUAUGUGUGGUCACACAAACAGGGGGAGUGUCUGCCCCCUGUCAGCAACAGGCCUUGUGCUGAAGGGGACACCAUGCCGGCCCAUGGCCCUGAAGCCCUUUUCACUACCAGUGAGACAUGAACUCCAGGAAGUGAUGGUUUGCAUCUGUGUGCUGGGCUACCUGAAUGAGAAACACCAUAACAGUUCUGCUGGGUGCCAGAGGGAGAGAGCCUCGGAAGUUGGCCCCAUUAAUCCCCACCCUCCCUCCUUCUCCUUGGUCUGAUGAAGGUCUCACACACAGGCCCACUUUGCCUGCCAUCGACUGCCCUUGCUGUGUGUACCUGUGGGCACACACACCGGCCAGAGAAGAGCCAUGGAAGCUUCCUCGCCCCUUGCUUGCUCUCAGCCUUCUGUGGAUCAGGCUCUCAGAAAGCCGGAAGAGGAAGUUCCUGCAUCGCAGUAACCUGCUUGUUGGAGAGUUAAGAAUCAUCCCAGCAUUCAGACAGCACAGCCUUGCAAAGACUGCAAGAAUGUCUGCCCAGGGAGGGCUAAGGAAACUUCCAUCCAGCCAUGAGCAGUCUGCUAUGCUGAGCACAGACCCUGGGGCCACGCUUGCUGAGCAAGCAAAUCACAUCACCAACCCGGGGACCCGGAGCCUCUGCUGCUCAGAAAAUCAAAAGCUGUGGAUUCCUUCCAGACUAAUAUGGUUUGAUCAAGCAAGACCCCCUGAAGCUGAGACGAUACAGCCUUACAGACUACAAAAACAAGACUUGGUCAGGUUUCUAUGUUUUAUCAUGAUCCCAAUGGUAUGAACAUCGCCCCAAAUCAGCAGGAAGCAGUUUAGAAAGAACGACGCCCAAAUUCCCAAAUAUUGUUUAUAAAUGUUUGUUUUCAUUUAAAUGGGGUUAGUUAUAAAUGAUAAUGAGCAUAGUCAAUCUCUUUUUAAAGAAAAAAGGGGAAUAGGAUAUAGGAAUGAAUACUUUGCAUUGGUAUAGAUUUUCAUUUAUUGAUACAACUUUAAGGUCAAUUUUAUGAUAUGUAUAUGUCUCCUCUUGUUUAGGUAUUGUGUUUAAACAGAUCUUUUACCUAUAAUAGUCAGAACUUAUAGUUAGGUUAGUUAGGUUUUCUAGAUACAGAGAUGUAUUUGAGAUGGAUAGGUAUUCUUCAAACCUUUCAAAGACCUACAGAAAUAUGGCAUUUAAAUGGUUUAGGGUUUUUCUUGGCAGUGAGACACAACUGCUCCUGGCACACCAAUUACGUCAGAAAGGAGGAUGGGCAUCAAAGAAACUCGUUAUGGAGUUUCCUUUCAACAUGGCAAGAUUAGCCAUUUGAGCAAGAAACUGCUCUUGCCUGGACUGUUUGUUGCUGUAUAAACUGGACAUACAGGACCCACAAGAAAGUGACUGCUGAACUUAGAAAACAAUACAGUACUGAAGGGUUCCUGUUGACAUGCAGAAUCCACAAGAAAGUGAAAUGGAGAAGUGUGCCAGACACACUGUGGCCUAUGGGCUGAAGAUGGGUGCCCCAACGUUACAGAGGAACUGUAGGUAACUGUCCAGGUAGCAGAUGUCUCUGUCAAUUCUAGAGUUUAUAUAUUUUCCUUCUGUGGUCUUUGAUAGAGUUGAAGACAGAUAGUUAUGGUUUUAGUUUUCUUCAGUUAUUAUAAAAGAUAAGUUACCCUUCUUUUUAUUUUAGACAGAAAGAGGAGAUGAUGAGGGAAGUACUUCUGUGUAUGUUUAUCUUAUUGAUUGUUUAAUAAAGUUCUGCUUGGCCAAUGAAACGGCAAGUUAGGCAGGACUAGGAGUCAAAGAGGAUUAAACAGGAAGUAUGCCUCUUUUCCCCUCUGCUCCUCCUCCAGCAGCACAAUGUGAUCCACCAGCAAGGAGGGACGCCAAUAAGGCGUCCGAUAAGAUAAGUCUUAUAAAAUAUAUAGAUUUAUGAUAAUUGAGACUGAGCUAACAGAUGAGGAAUCCUAGUCAUUGACCAAGCAGCUUUGAACCUAAUACAAGUUUCUGUGUAUUCAUUUGGGCCCUACCUCAGGCGGGCGGCUGGCGUAAAGCUCACACGUGGCAGUGGGGCUCAGGCGGCUUUUGGCGGAAAGAUUUAUAGUGGAGAAAUCAGGGCUGUCCAGUGUCCUGAGGAGGCC